rnacentral:rRNA from 1 species
GAUUAAGUUAUUAAGGGCGCACGGUGGAUGCCUUGGCACUAGAAGCCGAUGAAGGACGUUACUAACGACGAUAUGCUUUGGGGAGCUGUAAGUAAGCUUUGAUCCAGAGAUUUCCGAAUGGGGAAACCCAGCAUGAGUUAUGUCAUGUUAUCGAUAUGUGAAUACAUAGCAUAUCAGAAGGCACACCCGGAGAACUGAAACAUCUUAGUACCCGGAGGAAGAGAAAGAAAAUUCGAUUCCCUUAGUAGCGGCGAGCGAAACGGGAAGAGCCCAAACCAACAAGCUUGCUUGUUGGGGUUGUAGGACACUCUAUACGGAGUUACAAAGGACGACAUUAGACGAAUCAUCUGGAAAGAUGAAUCAAAGAAGGUAAUAAUCCUGUAGUCGAAAAUGUUGUCUCUCUUGAGUGGAUCCUGAGUACGACGGAGCACGUGAAAUUCCGUCGGAAUCUGGGAGGACCAUCUCCUAAGGCUAAAUACUCUCUAGUGACCGAUAGUGAACCAGUACCGUGAGGGAAAGGUGAAAAGCACCCCGGAAGGGGAGUGAAAUAGAACCUGAAACCGUGUGCUUACAAGUAGUCAGAGCCCGUUAAUGGGUGAUGGCGUGCCUUUUGUAGAAUGAACCGGCGAGUUACGAUUUGAUGCAAGGUUAAGCAGUAAAUGUGGAGCCGUAGCGAAAGCGAGUCUGAAUAGGGCGUUUAGUAUUUGGUCGUAGACCCGAAACCAGGUGAUCUACCCUUGGUCAGGUUGAAGUUCAGGUAACACUGAAUGGAGGACCGAACCGACUUACGUUGAAAAGUGAGCGGAUGAACUGAGGGUAGCGGAGAAAUUCCAAUCGAACCUGGAGAUAGCUGGUUCUCUCCGAAAUAGCUUUAGGGCUAGCCUCAAGUGAUGAUUAUUGGAGGUAGAGCACUGUUUGGACGAGGGGCCCCUCUCGGGUUACCGAAUUCAGACAAACUCCGAAUGCCAAUUAAUUUAACUUGGGAGUCAGAACAUGGGUGAUAAGGUC